rnacentral:rRNA from 1 species
CCUACGGGUGGCAGCAGUGGGGAAUAUUGGACAAUGGGGGGAACCCUGAUCCAGCCAUGCCGCGUGUGUGAAGAAGGCCCUCGGGUUGUAAAGCACUUUCAGUGAGGAAGAACGCCUGGUGGUUAAUACCCAUCAGGAAAGACAUCACUCACAGAAGAAGCACCGGCUAACUCCGUGCCAGCAGCCGCGGUAAUACGGAGGGUGCGAGCGUUAAUCGGAAUUACUGGGCGUAAAGCGCGCGUAGGUGGCUUGAUAAGCCGGUUGUGAAAGCCCCGGGCUCAACCUGGGAACGGCAUCCGGAACUGUCAAGCUAGAGUGCAGGAGAGGAAGGUAGAAUUCCCGGUGUAGCGGUGAAAUGCGUAGAGAUCGGGAGGAAUACCAGUGGCGAAGGCGGCCUUCUGGACAGACACUGACACUGAGGUGCGAAAGCGUGGGUAGCAAACAGGAUUAGAUACCCUGGUAGUC